UGCAAUGGGGCUUGGGAAAACUGUGAUGACUAUUGCUCUGAUUCUUGCAAGGCAAGGCAGAGGUACCCUGAGGAUUAAGAAUCGAUUGCCAAAAGUGAGGGUGAUACAGAGUACAUCAAGAAAAAGAAAGAGGAAUCUGAUCUCAAACCUUUUAGAAAAGUGAAAGGCAACACCCUCAUUAUUCGUCCUAUGGCGUUGCUUGGCCAGGGAAGGAUGAACUUGAAACACACUCAAAGCCAGAUAGCAUCUCCGUUUCUGUCUUUUUUGGUGGGGAUCGGAGCAGUGACCCUAGAGUGAUUGCUGAACCUAAUGUGAUCUUGACCACAUACAGUGUCUUAACAGCUGCUUGAUGGGGAGAAUAGCAUUUUCCACACAGUUGACUGGUACAGAGUGGUUUUGGAUGAAGCUCAUACCAUCAAGUCCUCUAAAACUCUAGGUGCCCAGGCUGCCUUCAAAUUGUCAUCCUAUUGCAUGUGGUGUCUUACUGGUACCCCUCUUCAGAACAAGUUGGAAGACCUUUAUAACCUACUUUGCUUCUUGCAUGUUGAACCAUGGUGUAACUAGGCUUGGUGGCAAAAACUGAUUCAGAAGCCAUAUGAGAGUGGUGAUUAUAGAGGGAUAAAGCUGAUCAAGGCUAUUUGGAGGCCACUAAAGCUCUACUAUUUACAGACAGAAGUGAUUAUCAUUUCUUUUAAUGUAAUAACUGUUUCCUUCUAUUUCUUCAACAGCUUAUAGUACUUUCUUUUUUUAUCUCCACCAAAAUGUAGAUUUAACUCAACAUCUCCUGACUACUCUACAGGGAAAUAUAGUUAUAUGUUACAUCAAGCCUUCUCCUUCUAGAUUUAGACUGACCAGAUAUGUAGCUCAUGAAAUAAUCACUGCCUAUGGAUGAAGCUCUCAAUAUUGACAACCUCAACAUCAACAAUCUCAAGAUUAAUGACUGACAAUCUACUUCUUGUGUU